UGGGGAAUAUUGCACAAUGGGCGAAAGCCUGAUGCAGCAACGCCGCGUGAGGGACGACGGCCUUCGGGUUGUAAACCUCUUUUAGCAAGGAAGAAGCGAAAGUGACGGUACUUGCAGAAAAAGCGCCGGCUAACUACGUGCCAGCAGCCGCGGUAAUACGUAGGGCGCAAGCGUUAUCCGGAAUUAUUGGGCGUAAAGAGCUCGUAGGCGGUUUGUCGCGUCUGCUGUGAAAACCCGAGGCUCAACCUCGGGCCUGCAGUGGGUACGGGCAGACUAGAGUGCGGUAGGGGAGAUUGGAACUCCUGGUGUAGCGGUGGAAUGCGCAGAUAUCAGGAAGAACACCGAUGGCGAAGGCAGAUCUCUGGGCCGUAACUGACGCUGAGGAGCGAAAGGGUGGGGAGCAAACAGGCUUAGAUACCCUGGUAGUCCACCCGUAAACGUGGGAACUAGUUGUGGGGUCCAUUCCACGGAUUCCGUGACGCAGCUAACGCAUUAAGUUCCCCGCCUGGGGAGUACGGCCGCAAGG
rnacentral:rRNA from 1 species